rnacentral:rRNA from 1 species
GACGGGGGGGGCAAGUGUUCUUCGGAAUGACUGGGCGUAAAGGGCACGUAGGCGGUGAAUCGGGUUGAAAGUGAAAGUCGCCAAAAAGUGGCGGAAUGCUCUCGAAACCAAUUCACUUGAGUGAGACAGAGGAGAGUGGAAUUUCGUGUGUAGGGGUGAAAUCCGUAAAUAUACGAAGGAACGCCAAAAGCGAAGGCAGCUCUCUGGGUCCCUACCGACGCUGGGGUGCGAAAGCAUGGGGGAGCG